CCAGCAGCUGCGGUAAUUCCAGCUCCAAUAGCGUAUAUUAAAGUUGUUGCAGUUAAAAAGCUCGUAGUCUGAUGUAAUGGGGACGGGAGUGGGGAGCAGCGAUGCUCAGUGCUUCGGUUUCCAUCAGGGGGUCAGCAAUGGCCCGGUUUACUUUGAGGAAAUUAGAGUGUUCAAAGCAGGCGAUUGCUUGAAUACUGCAGCAUGGAAUAAUAAUAUAGGACUUCGGUUCUAUUUUAUUGGUUCUGGACCGAAGUAAUGAUUAAUAGGGACAGUCGGGGGCAUUCGUACUCAACAGUCAGAGGUGAAAUUCUUGGAUUUGUUGGAGACGAACUACUGCGAAAGCAUUUGCCAAGGAUGUUUUCAUUGAUCAAGAACGAAAGU
rnacentral:rRNA from 1 species